UGUUCAUUAUGGAUCAGCCAUGGGUGUGCC
rnacentral:piRNA from 1 species